AUUGCACAUUUGUCGAGUCGGCUCGGCUGAAAUGGACCAACAAAUCAAGAGGAAGAAGCUGUUGUGGUUUGAAAUUUGUAGCGCUAAGGAUUGCGAGCGCGAGUGGCCUGCAAGAUAUUUGAGUGUGGCUGUGUAAAAUGAGCAGUCUAGCAGUUUUAAUACGUAACCAUCAAGCGUGAUUGUGUACUGAAGAUCUACCUCAUUUGAAGAGUCUGUGCAUCUACCUC